rfam:Tinamus guttatus contig56253, whole genome shotgun sequence.
CCAAAGGCUCUUUUAAGAGCCACCCACAAACUCCUUAAAAGAGCUU